CCUACGGGUGUCUGCAGUGGGGAAUAUUGGGCAAUGGAGGAAACUCUGACCCAGCAACGCCGCGUGAAUGAUGAAGGUCUUCGGAUUGUAAAGUUCUUUUCUAAGGGAAGAAGAAAGUGACGGUACCUUAGGAAUAAGCCUCGGCUAACUACGUGCCAGCAGCCGUGGUAAUACGUAGGAGGCCAGCGUUAUCCGGAAUGACGGGGCGUAAAAGGGGCGUAGGUGGUUUUGCAAGUUAGUAGCGAAACUCCAAGGCUCAACCAUGGAACUGCUACUGAAACUGUUGGACUUGAGUGCAGGAGGGGCAAGCGGAAUUCCUAGUGUAGCGGUGGAAGGCGUAGAUAUUAGGAGGAACACCAGUGGCGAAGGCGGGUUGCUAGACUGUAACUGACAUUGAGGCACGAAAGCGUGGGGAGCAAACAGGAUUAGAUACCCGAGUAGUC
rnacentral:rRNA from 1 species